GACGAACGCUGGCGGCGUGCUUAACACAUGCAAGUCGAACGCUGAAGCUUGGUGCUUGCACUGGGUGGAUGAGUGGCGAACGGGUGAGUAAUACGUGAGUAACCUGCCCUUGACUCUGGGAUAAGCCUGGGAAACUGGGUCUAAUACUGGAUACGACAUGUCACCGCAUGGUGGUGUGUGGAAAGGGUUUUACUGGUUUUGGAUGGGCUCACGGCCUAUCAGCUUGUUGGUGGGGUAAUGGCUCACCAAGGCGACGACGGGUAGCCGGCCUGAGAGGGUGACCGGCCACACUGGGACUGAGACAGGGCCCAGACUCCUACGGGAGGCAGCAGUUGGGAAUAUUGCACAAUGGGCGGAAGCCUGAUGCAGCGACGCCGCGUGAGGGAUGACGGCCUUCGGGUUGUAAACCUCUUUCAGCACGGAAGAAGCGAAAGUGACGGUACGUGCAGAAGAAGCGCCGGCUAACUACGUG
rnacentral:rRNA from 1 species